rnacentral:lncRNA from 1 species
CUGUUUAUAUCAAUAUCAUCCUGUGUUUGUGAAUUUGUAUUUUGGAAUUGUAUUUCUACAUUUCCAUCUGUAUGUUCUAUGAUAUGAUUAGGAAUGAACUGUUGAGGAAUUUCUCGUGGUUGAUUGGCAUUUUGUAAUGCCCAUGAUUUAGGUAGAAUUAUAUCUGACCAUUUUAUAGUCUUUGGGACUAUCAUAUUGGAUUUUUCUAUAUUUGUUUGAAACAAAAUUGUUUGAUCUUUUUGAUCAAGUUUCA